CUGGACCAACGCUGUUUCUAGAAACGCCUCUGUGAUCAACCCAUUGCCACGUGAUGUCAGCCAACCAGAAGCCCCUCUGUCCUGGGCAGUAACAGGGACGCUUUUAUAUUGUGGCGGUGAUUGUCAGGAAAGCGCUGGUCCAACAGGAAGAACCUGGUCUCCGGGGUCAGGCAGCCUGGAGAAAGGAUGGAAGCGAUCGAUAACAUCUUUAUGACAAGGGACAGAAACUACCCUCAAGCAUCAGUGAGCCUCGCAGGACAGACCACCCCAAGUGAGGACGAUUUCCUAUAAUGAUGAGGCUGCAGCCUGGAGCAGGAUUAAUCAUCUCAUGGGGACAGAUUGCUCCCCUCAGGGAUGGAGAGGUGAGCUAUUCCAGUCUUUUACAACGAAACAGGGCUGAUCUGCACGUGCUGAAGGACCACAUGGUUCUCCACCAAGGCUGUACAGAAGAAUUAUCCGGACUGGAGGUGUGGCUCAAGCAAUACAGCACUGGCCUAUUCAAAGCACUGAGUUCAAAUCCUCGUAUCACUCCCCCCACCAAGACAAU